rnacentral:snoRNA from 1 species
UCAGCACAACAAAAGAAACCACCAUCAUCAUUAGGUGGCAGAGAGCAGAGAGACUCGCCUACGCCCAGUGUCCUGGCUGUGGGCGCCUGGAUGGUUGACGGCCUGACACG